rnacentral:rRNA from 1 species
GACGUAGGGCGCGAGCGUUGUCCGGAUUUAUUGGGCGUAAAGAGCUCGUAGGCGGCUCGUUGCGUCGGCUGUGAAAACCCGCAGCUCAACUGUGGGCUUGCAGCUGAUACGGGCGGGCUGGAGUUCGGUAGGGGAGACUGGAAUUCCUGGUGUAGCGGUGAAAUGCGCAGAUAUCAGGAGGAACACCGGUGGCGAAGGCGGUUCUCUGGGCAUUACCUGACGCUGAGGAGCGAAAGUGUGGGGAGCGAACAGG